rnacentral:RNase_P_RNA from 1 species
UAGGUACACCAGACAAUGGCUUGAAAUAUUAGUAUUUUAAGAGGAAAGUCCGGGCUACAGUGAAGUAUGGUUCCAUUUAAAUAAUGGCUAGGGUAACCUAAGGGAUAGUGCAACAGAAAGUAAACCGCCUUGAUUCUCAAGGUAAGGGUGAAACGGUAGAGUAAGAGCCUACCAGACUUUUGAGUAAUCAUUAGUGCUUUGUAAACCCAACCAGUAGCAAGAAGAGAGUGGUAAAACUUCACAGUGAUCCUCUUCGCACGACUGCUAGAGUAAUCUAGGAGCUAGAUAAAUUAUUGUCCAAUACAAGACGCGGCUUAUAGGUGUGCCUA